AGUUCCAAUGAAGUUAAGCUUUUGUUGUAUUCUUGCUGUUGAUAGUUUUCCGAUUUACGAUUUCGCGGUUUAUUGUAAGAUAUUUUACAUUAAAAAUAUAUUGAUUUGAAAUUCAAGCCGUUUAUAGCUUUUUUCCCACAAUUAGUCGAUGUUUAUUCUUAUGUUUACUUUGUUGGAUUCCGCCAGUUUUCGUGCGAAGAAUUCACUCAUCACAAGAAAUAGGAGAUGAAAAUUUUUUGUACCCUGUUAUUAACAGUGAUGUAUUAAAGUUGCAUAGAGUAUGUUUGUGGGCUUAAAAUAUUAUUUGCAAAUUUACCAUGCAGUUUUUUGGUACUUCAGUUUAAAAAUAAUUUCCUGUAAAUAAUAUCAAAAGAAAGGCCGGCUACUGACACUAAUCUUCAGGUGGUUUUCUUUGCAUGUUAACUGUAAAAAUAGGCCAUUGGCCUUUUAGUUGCUGGAUAUGAAGGGUAGCUGUUUUGUGUGAGGGCAGUGCCCAUCUUUUCUCCCUCCAGACAAUCCUUGCUUCGUGUCUAUCUUCAUUGACAGGUCCAAAGUUCUUGGCAGCCACAACAGGAACUUUCAUUCUACUUGGUGAUGGCUUUUCUUUGUGGAACUCCAUGUUGUCUUGCUUACCUUGCAGUACAUUCAUCAGUCUUCAAAACAGGAUUUCUUGAUCAUCUUUGAUUCUUUUUCUGGUUACAAGCUUUUGUAAAGCUUUUCUUUUCUUGUAAGCUUCUUGAUCACCUCCUUGUGGUUCAUUGCAAAUCAGUAGAGGGGGCUCCCCAAAAUCGGGUCCGCUGCUUCUCAAAGAAUAGUAAGGAAUAAACCUGGCUAGGGGUGAAUGCCUCCUGUCCACACUAUAGUGAGUUAAUAAGAUUUUUUUCAGUUUGGUAUUCAUUUUCUAUUUGUGUCAUUUGUAUCCUAAGGUUUAAGGUUUUGUAUUGAAGUGUGACUAAACUCAGAUAACAAAAGUGGAGUAUAUUUUAAUUCUGCAUGGAUGUGAUAAAAUAAUGAUAUGCAAUGUCAGAUUUACUAAAUAACACUUUAUAAGCAUUAAUAAAGCUUAAAAAUACUGAAAUGAGAUAAAUGUGAAUCGGUAGCAUACAAAAAAACAUACAUCACUGACGUUCCCUAGCCUGAUGACAAAAAUGAGUGGGGAUGACGUUGUUAACCCCGAAACCAGCCAUAUUUUGGUAAGCCAUGCUUUUGAUAGCCGCACAAAGAUGGGCAAAAUUUGAGCAGUUUUUGGUUGGUUGACCAAUUCAAGUAACAAGACUGGUAUACCAAUGCUUGGAUUUCCUGAAAAGCAUUAAAUAUUUGAAGAGUGUGGAUUAACUUCAUCAAAAGAACAAGAAAAAGUUUACAAUGCCAACCCCGUACAACGUAUUUGUUGCUCUUCAUUCAUACCAGAAUAUUAUUGUGACAAGUGGCAUGUUGAAAAAGGUAAGUUGAGACAAGUUUAUUUAAAAAUGCCAGUUUUUUAAAGAUUUUUAGCAUAUGUAAAAGUAACCUAAGCUUUUAAUACCUGCAUAUUUUACUUUGUUUUGUUACAAACUGUUUAAUAAUAUAUUGUUUAAGUACUGUUGGCUUUAAGUAAACACAAACUGAGUGAUGGGAUUUCAUUUUAGGGAAAUUCUUUUUUUAGGCCUGAUCAGAAACAAAACAUUUUGACACAUCUUGCCAACAAAGGUGGAAUUGAAAGACCGAGAAGUUUGAGAAAGUCUUUCAUCGACUAUCUGGACUGGAUGGCAGUAUCUACUCCUAGUGGCUAGCACAUGCUAGCUAAAUGAGAAAGUCAACUAAACCAUUUGAAUGAGGGACACGAAUUAUUUUUUCUAGGAUACUUUUAUGGACUUCUGCGAGAAGAGAUAAUGAAGGGCUGGUUUACCACCAAAUUCAGAUGUUCAAAGAAAUAGGAAGUGUUCUGAGGAACAGAUACCUAGCAAAGGAUAUCAAGAAGCUGUCUCCACUGCACUAGACAUCUGCUUUGGAAACCUUCAGUAGCCUGAUAAUAAAGUUUUGCCCCAAGCACACAGCAUUUUUCCUAUCUGGAAUGUACUGCAGAGUAUGUGCCACAGCUAAUGCAGAAAAUUUUUCAAAAGUUUGAAGAAAUUCUGACCAUGGUUCAUGGCUUUCUUCCUACCAGAUUUCUGAACAUACCAGAUCUGCUAGCAGGAUAUGAUCAUCCUACCAAGAUGAGGCAUUGGCAACAUAUUCCACAUUUUUGUACUUCUGACCUAUAAGCCUUAAAACAUAAUUGAACAGGAAAGAAAUUAUGUAACCAAGGCAGAUUAUUCCUGUAUUACCAUCUUUUAAACACCUGACGCAGAAUGACAGGGUCUGAACUCAGUUAUUCUUAAAUGAAAAUCACCAAGUAAUCCUUUUCUUGUGUGAAAAAAAAACUAACAGUUGGAAAAGAUAAAGCAGUAAAUAAAAAUAAUAAUAAUAAUAAUGUGAACUUAUAACGCGCAACAUCGAGACCAAGAUGUCACAUGUUUUGUGUGUUUUAUUUCACAAUUUAAAUAAAUUAUUCAUUAUUGAAUGAUGUCAUCUUCAUGGCCAGAAGUGUUGUGAAAACAACUUCCCAGCAUGGUUGUGACAGUGCUUUGUGUAUGCACUUCACAAAUAUAAUGUAAUAGACCACCCAAAAAAAGACAAAUUAUGUUCUAAACUGAAGAGUUAUUGAACUUUUGGUGAACCUAAUUGAAAUAUUUUUGACAAAAAAGUAUUACAUCGAAGUGAAAUGUUGACAAAUUUCUGUUCAAGAUAUGUUUUAUGCAGUCAGUAUAGAUGUAUCAUAUCUGAUAUAGAAGUGCAACACCUAAGAAUGAAGCACGCACCAUUUUCACAGAAACAUCAUGGCUGAAAUCAACAAACUAAACAAACUUUCUAGUGGUCAUAUUGCUACAGCGUUCAAGACCUUUCAAUUUGCUCUCUAUAGAAGGUGAGUUUCACUUCUGUUUGAUGUUAAUGCUGUAAACAUAUAUCAAUAGGUAGAAUAGCUAGCAGAAUAUUGAGUAAUGCCUUUUGGAACAGGCAAUACUUGCUGCUAAGAGUGCCAAAAUUACAACAGCUUUCUUCUUUUUUUUUUUUUUUUUUGGCAGUUAGAUGCUUAUUUGUAAAUAAAAUGUAUAAGACAUGGUUCAAAAAGUUCUGGUGGUUUUUACUAACUAUAAAUUUUGUUUUGGUUUUUAGGUUAGAAAAAAAAAACAGGACUGAGCUGAUGUGGUCCUCAUUUGUUGCAACUCCAGCACAGUGAAAAGCUGUACUGACUAUUUAAGGCCAUUCUUAACAAAUUUGGGCAUUUUUGACCAUGUUUGUCUGAGUACAGUCUUUAAGGGACUUAUGUUUUUGCAUUGGUCUUUCUAAGUAUAAAAGUGUAUUUAGGACAGGGAUAAAUGCAAGAGUUUACCUUGAAAAUUAACUGAUAGUAAAAAAGACAGUGAUGAAUUCAAUGUUUUUAUUCCUUCUUGUCUCAUACAAGAAAUGUUCUUUCUUUAUAUUUAUCACUAAAAUGUUCUGAGAUGGAAAAUUUGAUUUCCUUUGUUAACAGAUUGGUAAUCUUUAUUAUACAGAGAUAGUAAAAAAUUAAGAUCUUAUCUUUUAAGCUAACACAUUACCAAUAAAAAGUAAAGUAAGUCUAGAAUAAAAUAGAGAUAAAAAAUAAAAGAUAAACAGACUUGCAGGGGCUCAGACUUAUAAUGGGGAAACAUUAAGAGUGAUGCUCGCCAAUUUCUUUUUUUUGUUGUUGUUUUGUUGCCAUGAAAUUUACAUUAACACUGGUUUAAGAAAAUAAUUUAGACACAUGCCCUAUAUACUUUUAUUUCUUAUUUGGAAUUUUUGGUUCAUUCUCAUUGUCAUACUAUUACUCCCUUUUUGUAAAACUUUCAGUAAUAUAUUCUGUGAGACGGUAGUUAACUUUUGUCACUUUGAGAUUCUCAACUUUUUUCUUGACUGUACCCCCAGAGGUGAAAGUAAGUCCGUGGGUACCCCUCGCACGUAAGUUCACGCAUAAAAGUACUUAUUUUCAUAAUGGCGUGUGCUUAUUUAUAUGUAAUGUUAUGUUAUAACCAGUUUUAUGUUAUAAUCAGCUUCUAGGUCAUGAUAGGAGAUUUCUUAAUACUAAUCAGUGAAUUACAUUAAGCAAUAGGAAUGAAGUCUUCGGAUAUUUAGUAAGGUAACUCAAAAUUGAUGCUAUAAGUUAUUCUUAGGCUUUUGAAAGGGACAGAGGGAAUUAUGCCACAUCUUAUUUCCAGUUCACAAAAGACCAAACAGGAGAGAGGUAUGAAAUGUGACAGAUGUUGACUCUUGCUUUUUGAAAGUACUGACCUGAGUCAAUCUACAAUAGUGAAACUUGAGAACAAUUGUUUGUAAACAGAAAUACGAAGAUUUCAUAAAUGAAGUGUGAUCAGUACAACAUUUUCUGGAAUUAAAGAAAGUUGCUUAGUUUUAGUGUACUCUUGUAAGUUUGUUGUUUGUAGCUAGUGAAAAAGUGGAGAAGUUUCAUUGUUUUUAUAGUAUGAAAGUUUUAUUGCUUUACAGUGUUACUCUUUGAAUAGAACAGUAGUUUAAAAAAGUGUAGCUGAUAUUUAAACCCAACCACAGAUAUGCAGCAUGCAAACAAAACAACAAAAAUAUGAGCUCACUGACGUAGAGAAGGGACACCAUAUUAAACCAGAAUGACACAUGAAAGAAAAACUCUGUACAACCAUGUACACCAAAAUUUCACACACU